rnacentral:rRNA from 1 species
UGCUUCUCUGAUGUUAGCGGCGGACGGGUGAGUAACACGUGGGAUAACCUACCUAUAACACUGGGAUAACUCCGGGAAAACCGGGGCUAAUACCGAGAUAAUAUUUUGAACCGCAUGGUUUCAAUAGUAAAAGAGGUUUCGGCUGUCACUUAUAGAUGGACCCGCCCCGUAUUAGCUAGUUGGUAAGGUAACGGCUUACCAAGGCGACUAUACAUAGCCGACCUGAAAGGGUGAUCGGCCACACUGGAACUGAAACACGGUCCAGACUCCUACGGGAGGCAGCAGUAGGGAAUCUUCCGCAAUGGGCGAAAGCCUGAGGGAGCAACGCCGCGUGAGUGAUGAAGGUUUUCGGAUCGUAAAACUCUGUUGUUAGGGAAGAACAAAUUUGUUAGUAACUGA